AGAUGUUUCACAAAGUACAAUGUGUGGGAAGAAGAGAGACACCUUCGGAGCGUCCAGCUGACAUGUAAGAAGUUGGGCUAUCCCUGAAUCCACCACGCGGGAGAAACUACAUAGAGAGAGAGAGAGAAGUCCUAGGAGGCCCAGCCGUGCCCACCCCCAGCUGUUUGAGCUUUUCCAAUAUGGGCCACAGAAUAUGCAUUGGAAUGAGCCAUCAGAGGACUCCAGGCCCCAGCCGAUGAGCCACCCUAAUGGAUGCCUGGUGGAGCACCCAACUGUGUUUGAUCAUGGUGAUUGAUGGGAUACCAAUGGAAA